rnacentral:lncRNA from 1 species
GCCAGCGUCUUUUAAGAUAACAAACCACAGUGACAAAUAUGAAUAUUACUGAACUUUUGAAAGAAUUAAUAUAAAAAGUUAAACUUUAUAUGAAUAUAUCUGCUAUUCAUAUAUUUACAGAGAACUGUAUGCAAUUAACUCUUAUUUGUAUUAUUGUAUAUUUUGGUCCAUCAAUAACAUCGCAGACCUACUGACCGUUCCUAGAGCAAGUGGCAAAGGGUUUGGUGGUUGGUAUCCGAGACCCAAGUUCGAAUCCUAGUUGAUUCAAAUUUCCAGCUAAGUUUAUUUAUAAAUAAAAUAAACCAAGCGGGUAGCGUGCUACCUAUCUCUUAAAAAAAAAAAAAAAGACAUCGCAGACCUGGCCCAUUUCAUUUGGACCAAACACCGUAAAUGGGUAUUGCAACUUGCAAAUUCAUCAAGCAUUAGCACUCAAUUUCUCACCAAAUCUAUUACUAUAUAUAAAAGUAGAACCCUUAAUGAACCCUACGUGAGAAGCUGACACGUGACUUUCUAUAUGCUUGCCACGUGUCAAUCUCAAAUAUGGAUAUUUAAAUUAUUACUUAAUUAAUUGCGAAUUAUUAUUUAAAAUCUAAAUUUCUUUACCCUACGUGAGAAGCUGACACGUGGCUUUCUAUAUGCUUGCCACGUGUCAAUCUCAAAUAUGGAUAUUUAAAUUAUUACUUAAUUAAUUGCUAAUCUAUUACUAUAUAUAAAAGUAGAACCCUUAAUGAACCCUACGUGAGAAGCUGACACGUGGCUUUCUAUAUGCUAUUAUUACUUAAUUAAUUGCGAAUUAUUAUUUAAAAUCUAAAUUUCGUUACCCUACGGACAUAAAAAUAUUAGUGAAAAAUGAUAGAGACAUUUUUGGAAAGAGAAAAAAUUCAAAACUCACGUUUUUAUAAAAAAAUAAUAUUUUUUACUAUAUUAUUAAAAAUCACAUAUAAUGAAGGAAAUUUUAUUUCAAAGUCACCUAUAAUUAUGUUGAGAUAUUUGAGAAAUUUAUGGAUAUUAUGUUGCCAAAGAAUUGGCGGUGCCGAUAUUACGCGUGAGAAGGAAAAUAUUUAUCUUUAUUUGGGAAUAAAUUAUUACUUAGUUAAUUAUUUAAAAUGAUUGGUUAAAAAUUUCUGAACAUAAAAAUAUUAGUAGAAAAGGAUAGGCAUUUUUGGAAAGAGGAAAAAAUUUAAAACUCACAUCACUCCUGUAAUUUUCUUCGCUCUUAAAUAUUGAUGCUUUAAAAUAGAACAUAUUAUUCCCUACUGUCACUUCUGUAAUUUUCAUUUCGUAAUUUUUUUCCCUUCUGUCACUCAUGUAAUUUUUUAUUUUCAUGCAACAAAAGUUUUUUUCUUUAUAUUUUCUUGAAAAUCAACAUCUAUAUAUUUUUGAAUCUUAAAAGCGACAGUAGGAACAUAAUAUAUGUGUGAUAACUCUAAUUUGUGUCAAAUAUGAAAGUUUAGUUGAUCUCAUUAUAUGCUUAAAUAAUAAUGUCAUUUGUAAUUUUUCAAAUCAAUUUUAGUUAUCAUUUUAUUUCGCACAUCAAUAUGUAAAUGUAAAUUAUUUUGCAUACCAAUUCAUAGAUAAUAGAGCAGGAUUGAAUUUUGCAUUUUAGUUGAAUAUUUACUUUGGUCCAAUUUUUUUUUUCUCUAGCUUGUGUACUUUAAUAUGUACUAUAAUUAAGAUUGAUAGCAUAUUUUUUUAUUUGUUAAAAAAUAUAAAAUUAAUUAAAAAAUCUUUUUGUUAUCAUCACAUAAUAAUUUUUAUUAUUCUAUAUUAUUAUAUUAGCCGUGCAUCGCACGGGUGAAAAUCUAGUUCCUUUCUAUUACUCAUGCAAAUUCCAUUGAUU